GCCUACCUGGAUUCCCGAGGCUGCCUAGUUCCCUGCCCUCUCCAAGCCAGAUGUCUCAACCCUUCCUUCUGUUCUGCAACAAACCCCACGUCUUUCCACUCAGUUCCCACCUGCUAAAUUAUCUGGAGUCCUUUUUUUUUUCAUAGCCAAAGAGUCCAGACUGGUCAGUGACUUCUAAGGGAAGAUGUGCCGCAUAAUUUCUUCAGCAAAAACUGCCAACAACAAAAGCAGUAUUGAUUUCUUAAAAUGCAAAUUUUUGACUGUUAAUGGCAUCUUAGAUUCGCCCAUUGAAAUCCCAUGUGCCACCUGCCAUUGUAUGGCGUGUCAUCGUCUUGCAUGUGAAUUCACAGUGUACCCAGACCUGCCCAGCGUUCCGGGUCUCGCUCUAUGUUUUCAGACUGGCUCGUGUGAGAAGCAAAUUUCCUGAAGAGAUGAGAUUGGGGUAAAGUGCUCCUGUCUUCAUGGGCGUCCCCUGGAGAUGCAAUGCGGACGCGGAAGAAAGAGCGGUGGCUGGAAAUUUCAGACACGGUGACGGGUUUGUAGAACAGAUCGAAGGUGUCACCUUCUGUUCUCGCUGGAGUGCCUCAGCUGUUGUGUAACAAGAGGAUGAUAAAACCCACCUGCUUGUCUUCUCUACAACACACACCGCAGGGCACGGCCUCGCAGAGAGGAGACGAGUUCAGUCCCAGCUCAGCGAUGCGUGAGCUGUGUCACCUUCUUUGCAAGGAGUCUCUGUUCUCCUGUGUAAAAGGGCAGCGCUGAGCCGUCACCUCUGGCCUCGCCAUUUGUAAGGGUUUGGAGGCAGGGAGGUGGGAGGGGGGUCGCUGCUGAAAUGUUCUCGACUUUUGAACAGACACUCAAGAAGCUAGACCCUUGACUGUCACACUCGGCUACUCUGCUACCUGGGGUGGCUUUCAUGGAGGGAAGUCACUUUGCAGUUAGCACCAGGACAUCACCACCUGACUUGGUUCAGCAUUUGCUCCACACAUAGUUUUGAGCAUCUAUAGGGUUGGAGGCAUCGGGCUCGCUCUGGGGAACAGUAAGAAUGAGGUAACGUUUGGAGAUAAUGUGCUAGGAAAAAAGAAUAAUAUCUUCCAAAGGAUCCACAAGUUCCUUUUGGAUGGGAUUUAAACCGUAAGGUAGAAAUGAGUAGAAAAAGCCCAAGGAGAAAGGCAAGGUGAGGGUCUUCACUCCCAUUUUACAGAGAAAGCUUGUAGACGGCAACUUGUUCAAAUCACACAGCUAGCUAGAAGGCCAGGGCUCCAGUGCCUGAAGAAAAGCGAGAAAAACAUUGUCUUUAUUUACCUACAGUGCUCGGGAUCAAACCCAGGGCCUCAUACAUGCUAGGCAAGUGCUCUACCUCCGAGCUACUUCCCAGUUCAAGGUGACCAUUCUAGACCACAUGGUAGAGACGCCCUUUGGAGCAGGUGGAGUUUGCAAUGAGCAUUAAUAAUAAAAAGGAGCCAACUUUGGGGACGUAUAGAUGCAGUUUGUAUAUAGAUUCCCGACGUCCCCCCAAAGCCUCUUGCAGUCAUGGGUGGGGCUUUCUCAGAGAUGGCUGGGUUUAGAGUAUGUGAUGCUGGGAUUGAUUCAUGGUGCAGUGCUAGGCUCAAGGGCACUAGGAUUAAAGGUGUGAGUGCUACCUGCCCUAAGUAGCCUGGAUUAGAUAUAAGGGACAGAAAGAGCUGUGGUCAUCCCUUGCAUCCUUUUUUAUUUGUGUUGCUACCUUCUGCCCACCAUGAACUGUUUCUCCUCUGUGAUGCCACUCUGCCUGGGAGCCAGCUGAGUAUGGAC
rnacentral:lncRNA from 1 species